GGAAGGAUCAUUACCGAAUUGUCAACAAGAGUUGUUGCUGGCCCCUGUACGGGGGCAUGUGCACGCUCUGUUUACACAUCCACUCACACCUGUGCACCCUCUGUAGUUCUAUGGCCUGGGGGGCUCUGUCCUCCUGUGCUGUGGUUCUACGUCUUUACACACACACUGUAAUAAAGUCUUAUGGAAUGUACGUCGCGUUUAACGCAAUGAAAUACAACUUUCAGCAACGGAUCUCUUGGCUCUCGCAUCGAUGAAGAACGCAGCGAAAUGCGAUAAGUAAUGUGAAUUGCAGAAUUCAGUGAAUCAUCGAAUCUUUGAACGCACCUUGCGCCCUUUGGCUAUUCCGAAGGGCAUGCCUGUUUGAGUAUCAUGAACACCUCAACUCUCACGGCUUGCCUGUGAUGAGCUUGGACUUUGGGGGUCUUGCUGGCCUGUGGUCGGCUCCUCUCGAAUAAAUUAGCUCGCCGGUGUUUGGUGGGGUCACAGGUGUGAUAACUAUCUACGCUUGCGGUUUUCCACCGGGUAACCUUCAGCAAUGGAGGUUCACCGGAGCUUACAAAUGUCUCUCCUCAGUGAAGACAGAUUUUGACCGUUUGAUCUCAAAUCAGGUAGGACUACCCGCUGAACUUAAGCAUAUCAAUAAGCGGAGGAAAAGAAACUAACAAGGAUUCCCCUAGUAACUGCGAGUGAAGCGGGAAGAGCUCAAAU
rnacentral:rRNA from 1 species